rnacentral:misc_RNA from 1 species
AUCUGAGGGCUUUGUCGGACUCCUUAAACCGAGGUCGACUCCCUUUAAAUUUAUUAGCGGAUUUUGCCAUCGUGGAUACGCCUCGAUUUGAUAAUAUCUAUGUCGUCGCGCUGAAGCGGUAAUCUGCUCCUAAUCGUCUUUGGACAAACAUAACUUGACCAUUUGACCUCAAAUCAGGUAGGACUACCCGCUGAACUUAA